CCUACGGGAGGCAGCAGUGGGGAAUCUUGCGCAAUGCACGAAAGUGUGACGCAGCAACGCCGCGUGCGGGAAGAAGGUCUUCGGAUCGUAAACCGCUUUCAGUUGGGACGAGGGUUACACGGUGAAUAGCCGGAGUGACUGACGGUACCUUCAGAAGAAGCCCCGGCUAACUACGUGCCAGCAGCCGCGGUAAUACGUAGGGGGCAAGCGUUAUCCGGAAUCAUUGGGCGUAAAGCGCGUGUAGGCGGUUCAGUAAGUCCGCUCUGAAAGCCCAGGGCUCAACCCUGGGAGGCGGGUGGAUACUACUGAACUAGAGUACGGAAGAGGAGAUUGGAAUUCCUGGUGUAGCGGUGAAAUGCGCAGAUAUCAGGAGGAACACCAACAGCGAAGGCAGAUCUCUGGGACGUUACUGACGCUGAGACGCGAAAGCGUGGGGAGCAAACAGGAUUAGAUACCCUGGUAGUCCACGACCGUAACGAUAGAUACUAGUAGUAGGGUAGUCGACUCCUCUGUGCGACGACUACGACAUUAAGUUAUUCCGUCCGUCGGGGUAGGUACGGGCCGGCCGACGGACGUAAAACCGUUAAAACGUUAAGUAAGUUAGUACGGCGUGAGACGUCGCCGAACGGACGACCGACCGAGGGAGGUUAGGG
rnacentral:rRNA from 1 species